ensembl:lncRNA
UUAAUAGUUGAUUGUUGAGAAUCACUCAGUCCCGCCCCCUCGUCUGCGUUUCAGUGGUUUCGUCCAAACUUGCUUUAGUUCUUCCAGUCCGAUGGGGUUUAUUCGAGUGCUUGUGAUCAUAGUGUAUUCACAGAUGGCCUGCCGAACAAGUUUUCAAUGAAUAUUAUAGGUCUUUACAGUCAAAUGCCCAAAUUCACGGCAAUUAUGGAUAUAAUUCGUUUGUUAUGGAUAAUACGGAUUGUGUGGGCUGUUGAAGCAGCCGUGUAUCCCAGAAAGCACCUGGGUUGGUGUGAUGUGUGUCCUGCUGCACUUCCUCGUCCCUGUCUAUUAGGACCAAGACCUGCCUCUGGCAUCUGCGACAUCUUUCUGAGCCUUGAGCCUACAUAAGCACGGCAAACCUGACCAGUUUCUGUCAUGCCAGACAGCGUCGGCUCUGUGGCCUGGCAGACAGAACAAGCUGUCUCUGAAUCAGUGAAUUUAUGUGUGAUGGGAAACUGGGAGUUUCCAUAUGGCCUCUGAUGAAAUGACAUGAUUUUGUCCACAGGCUUGUGAGGGGGUCAAAAUGGUGAAAUUAUCAGGUAUCCAAGAGGGACUUGCCAUCUGCUUGACAACUUAAUUAUCCAUCUGUCUUUCUGUCUUGUUGAGUGAUCAUUUUGAAUAAAAUGAGGUGAAAUGGAUUGUCCUCUUAAUGUUAAUUAUCAGCCAGUUUGAUGAGCGCCGUCAUAUUGAUUUAAAUUCAUGCUAUUUUUGAGUGCAGAGAUAAGGGUACAAAACAAAUUUGGUUCGUAAACACUCAGAAUCUCAUUUAACAAAAUGUCAGAGUGUCAGUUGCUAUCGAGGAGCAAUAUCUCUCGAACCACCACGCAUACGUGGGUCAUUUUAUUAAAUGGAGAGCACAAGCAGGGUAUAGUGGUCAAUGUGAGAGAGCAAUCCAUUUUAUGGAUGUUUUUAAGCACAAAGUAAUAAGAAGCACACAGGACAGGAUGAUAUUUCUGGAGUUUCUCUCCAAAGUUGAAAAGAAUUGUAAAGUAUUAAUACUGAAGUCCUCCAGUUUCCUCCAUAGUCGAUAAUUUGGCCGCAAGUUGGUACAAGUUGCAUUUUUGUGAAAGGAGAGAGUGCAUCUGCAUUAUAAUACAAGCACCUGCCUAUUCAUGUUUGCUAUUGAUGACGGUCAUUAGCAGAGAAAAACUGACCAAUCAGAACCAGCCAUUUCAGAGCACCAUGUAAUAAAGUUUGGUUAAACCAGUUAAUUUUAUUUAUUUAUUUAUGAACAUAUUGUUUUGACUGGAUCUAUUAAAUAAUUAAAAAAUACAGAAAGAAAUUGGGUUUAUGCAUACAGUGACAUGAAUAAACCACCAUGAUGAGCAUGCUUUUAAUAUCUUACAUUUUUGGAUGGCAGAAAGUAAAAAGGGUCAGGAGGAUACAGCUGUCCUUACUUUAUAAUGAAAAGAAAAUUAAGUUUGGCAAAAGUAAAAAAAAAAAAAAAAAAGAACAUUAAAUACAUUAAGUUUUUCGUCUUCUUUGCUGUGGACUUUUUAAUUUGACAUUAGCCCAAGUAGGCCUAACACUGAUAAAAUGAGUCUAGUAGCUUCAUGCACUUAUCUGAUAAAGAUUUAUUUGAGCAUGUGGCUUUAUUCUGCAUUAUUGUGUUGUUGUUUAUCUGAUGAAGAUCUAUUUGAGCACAUGACAUUGUGUUUGUGCUCAUAUGAUUAAAAUAUAUUGGAUCAUAUGGUACAUUAAGCAUUUCACACCAGUCAGAUCUGCAUGCUACUCAAGCUGGAAAGAUUUUCAUCUUGCUACUACAGAAAAAGCUAGUGUGUUUUUUUUUUUUUUUUUUAUGCCAGUCCAAACAGAAUGGAUAUACAGUACAAUAAGUGCAAUUAAAUUCAUUACCUGUACCUGAAAGGGUUCAAACCUGGCCUAGUCUCUACUCACGGGUGUCCAAUAGACUGUGUUCUAGAAUUGUAUUUUCUUUGUCGAAAACGAAUCUGUAAGUUGUUUUCAUUGACCCAUAAGCUUUACAUUCUGAAGUGAACUUAAUGAAAAGAGAAGAGAGAUCCCUGAGCUUAAGAAUCUCUAUUCAGGGUGAUUAAAAAUCAGAUGAAAAGUUAAUUUGCUCCCAUAGCCUGAAGCUGCUAAUUUACUCUGAAAUCCACCGAGGAUCUGAUUUGCGAAUGGUUUGUUCUUGAGUGAUCGUCAGUAUUCAGUCAAAGCCUUCUCAAACCGAACCGUUUGGAAUCAUUUUUAACCAUGUUCUGUAUUUGUUACUUAUUUUCAGAUAAUUGAUAUUCAUCUACUCCAUAAUCUUUUUAGAUGGAGAUAAUUUGCGUCUGGAUGUGACGUCUGUGUUCCAUGUAUAAUUUUGUUCUGUGUAAACUUCAUUAUGUGUUCUUUCAUUUUCAGGUAUUGAAUGUCCCAAAGCAAGCAAAAAUGAGUAUGAAUGGACAUCCCAGAUAAUGAGCUGAUAUUGCAUAAUCAUAAUAUCCUCAAUAGUUACAGAUGCAGAUGCAGUCAAUCCACUGCGUCUUUGCCAUCAGAGCAGAAGUGCUCUUAUUCCACGGAGAGCUGACAUAAAAUAUUGAAAUUCAAAAAGCUCAUGACCUACUUGCUCACUAUUCUCAAUUUCAAAACUAUCUGAAAGCACAAGGGUAUGUGUUUGGUUGAAUAUCAUUUGAUUUCUCAGUGUAUACGUUAGUGUUUUUGAUGCAUAGUCAUAGUCUUGUGAUGCUUCUUAACAUCCACCUCCUCAUACAUUAGUCAUGCAGACUGUAUUUGCAUUUAGUGUAUUUAUGGAGUAGAUUUUUUUAAGGUAAUGUAUUUGCCAUUAGUAAUUCAUGAAUGUACUCUUUCUGUACCUUCAUUUGGGCCCUUUUCUGCACCUUUGAUUUAAUCAUUGUUUGUCUGACAUGAAUACACAUAACUGUUCAAAAGUUUUUGGUCAGUGAGUUUUUUUUUUUCUUUUUCUUUU